UACGAAGGGUGCAAGCGUUACUCGGAAUUACUGGGCGUAAAGCGUGCGUAGGUGGUGAGUUAAGUCUGUCGUGAAAGCCCCGGGCUCAACCUGGGAAUGGCGAUGGAUACUGGCUCGCUAGAGUGCGGUAGAGGAGAGUGGAAUUCCCGGUGUAGCAGUGAAAUGCGUAGAGAUCGGGAGGAACAUCAGUUGCGAAGGCGGCCAUCUGGGACAACACUGACGCUGAAGCACGAAAGCGUGGGGAGCAAACAGG
rnacentral:rRNA from 1 species